GAUAAUCCGAAUGCAUCUUCAAAGCAGAUUGUGCCAAAGAAGGGAAUGAGUUUUGAUUCUGAAGAAGAGGCAUACAAGUUCUAUAACGCGUAUGCCAAAAGUAAAGGAUUUAGUGUCAGAUGGACACACAGAAAAGCAAGAGCAGAUGAUACCUUAUCUGCUAGGUAUUUAGUUUGCAGUAAGGAAGGAGUAAAGGGUAAACAUAGCACACAUGAGACGAGGAAAGAACGGGCUUCUACGAGGACAGAUUGCAAAGCUCGUGUUCAGUUCCAUAUUACUCCGGCGGGUGUUUGGUUGAUUCAGAAGGCUGUCAAUGAGCACAAUCAUCACAUGGUAUCUCCGGACAAGGCACACAUGUUAAGAUCACAACGACAGCUACUAGAUGUCGAUAAACACAUGAUCAACCACAUGCGGUCAGCAGGUAUACGACCAUCAAAAAUAUAUAAUUAUUUUGAAGAAUGGUGUGCAGGAGCACAAAAUGUGCCUUUCUUGGAGAUGGAUUCCAAUAACUAUAUAACAAGAGAGCAUAGCAAGUAUUUGGAGACCAAAGAUGCCCAAACUCUCAUGGAGUAUUUAAAGAACAAACAAGUGGAAGAUCCAUCAUUUUUCUAUGCUGUGCAACUUAAUAAAGAGGAUGGUACACUAGCAAAUUUCUUCUGGGCUGAUGGACAAUCAAUAAUGGAUUAUUCUUCGUUUGGAGAUGUUAUUUCUUUUGACACCACAUUCUCCACCAAUAAGUUUGAAAUGCCAUUUGCUCCUCUGCUUGGUGUUAACCAUCACAAGCAGACUAUUGUUUUCGGUGCUGCAAUAAUAUUUGAUGAAACUGCCGACUCGUUUGUGUGGCUUUUCAGCACCUUCCUACAAGCAAUGUCCGGUAAGGAGCCAAAAACAAUUUUCACUGAUCAGUGUGUUGCAAGUAUGAAUGCAAUUGCAGAGGUAUUCCCGAGCGCAAGCCAUCGCCUUUGUCUAUGGCAUCUAUAUCAAAAUGCCGUUAAACAUCUGAGUCAUGUUAUUGCUGACCAUCCGGAAUUUCUUUCUGAACUCAAGCAGUGUGUAUAUGAAGAAAGGUCAGUUGCACAUUUUGAAUCAAGAUGGCAUGAUUUAUUGGUUAAAUACAGCCUUGAGGAUAAUUCUUGGAUUAACAAUAUGUUCAAAUUUCGUGAGCAGUGGGCAACCGUAUAUAGGCGAGAUUCAUUUAGUGCAGACAUGACAUCGACCCAGAGGAGUGAAGGGAUGAACAAUGCCUUCAAAACAACAUUCAAUGGAAAACUCUCGCUUUCAGAGUUGCUAGAAAAAUAUGACAAGUGUGUCGCACGUCUUCGACGCGAAGAAAAAUAUGAAGAUUUUCAAUCGCGCCAUACAGACCCAGUGCUUUGCAUAGCUAGACAUCCUUUGUUGAAGGAGGCAGCUGCAUCAUACACGAGGUCACUCUAUACUUAUUUUGAAGAGGAAUUUCAGAGGCAGUUUACUUGGUCAUGCACUCUGUUGUGUAAUGAAAGCACAAUCAACACGUACAAAGUUAAAUCCUUUUAUCGAGAGGAUGGUGAAGCCAUUGUCGAUUUUAACCCAACAACUUUGGAGAUAUCUUGUUCUUGCAAGUUGUAUGGAUGUGUGGGUAUGUAUACAUUCUUCGUCCGUCAACUAAUAUGA
rnacentral:rRNA from 1 species